GCGCCUGUAGCUCAGUGGAUAGAGCACUGGUCUUCGGAACCAGGUGUCGGGGGUUCGAACCCCUCCAGGCGCGCCA
rnacentral:tRNA from 1 species